rnacentral:rRNA from 1 species
AAAGUCGUAACAAGGUUUCCGUAGGUGAACCUGCGGAAGGAUCAUUAACGAGUUAUUGAACAGGUUGUAGCUGGCCUUCAGGGGCAUGUGCACGCCUGGCUCAUCCACUCUUCAACCUCUGUGCACUUAUUGUAGGUCGGUGGAAGAGUAAGUCUAAGUGAUUAGACUUGCUUGGAAGCCUUCCUAUGUUUUUACAAACGCUUCAGUUUAAGAAUGUAUCUCUGCGUAUAACGCAUUUAUAUACAACUUUCAGCAACGGAUCUCUUGGCUCUCGCAUCGAUGAAGAACGCAGCGAAAUGCGAUAAGUAAUGUGAAUUGCAGAAUUCAGUGAAUCAUCGAAUCUUUGAACGCACCUUGCGCUCCCUGGUAUUCCGGGGAGCAUGCCUGUUUGAGUGUCAUGGUAUUCUCAACCUUCAUAACUUUUGUUAUCGAAGGCUUGGAUUUGGAGGUUGUGCUGGCUUCUCGUCAAGUCGGCUCCUCUUAAAAGCAUUAGCGUGAGUGUAACGGAUCGCUUCGGUGUGAUAAUUAUCUGCGCCGUGGUCGUGAAGUAACAUAAGCUUGCGCUUCUAACCGUCCUUCAGCUGGACAAAUUUACUCUGACAUCUGACCUCAAAUCAGGUAGGACUACCCGCUGAACUUAAGCAUAUCAAUAAGCGGAGGAAAAGAAACUAACAAGGAUUCCCCUAGUAACUGCGAGUGAAGCGGGAAAAGCUCAAAUUUAAAAUCUGAUAGUCUUUGGCUGUCCGAGUUGUAAUCUGGAGAAGCGUCUUCCGCGCUGG